rnacentral:lncRNA from 1 species
UAUAUUGUAUACACAUAUAUAUAUAUAUAUAUGUAUACAUAUUUUGUUUUCCUUUUACUAGUAGACACUAUAUCUACACUUUUUCCCCAUUUAUUCUCUUUUUUUUACAGUUUUAUUCAAGCGACAUUUGUAAAAACGGUAUAACACUAGACAUAUACAACAAUCAGAUAAUUGAGAAUAAAGAUAUGACAGCAAAUAUUUAUUGUCCCAUAACAAAAAAAAUUGUUAAUACAUAUAGUAUUAACACUUGGAAAAAAAUGUUUCAAAAAAUUCAAUCAGCUUAUGAUGAAUUAAAAAAGGUAACACUAGUAAACAAAACAGAAAGACAAAAAAAAAAAAAAUAAAAUAAAAUAAACAUAUAUAACUUACAUGUCGCUUAUGCGUAAAAAUAGAAUGAAAUUUGUAUUUAUGCACAUACAUGUGCAUAUAUUUACAUGCUUUUUUUUUUUUUUUUUUUUUUUUCUCUUUUUAUAGGGAAGGAGUUUAAAUGUCAUAUGCGAAGAAACCAGUGAUCAUACAUCAAACAGAAAAAUAGAUCUUAAAGGUAAAUCUAUUCAAAAAUAAAAGCAGUAGCAAAAAAUAUAUAUGUAUAUGUAUACAUACAUACAUACACUUGUACAAACAUAUAUNNNNNNNNNNUUCAAAAAGGGAGUAAAAGAUAUAUUGUAUACACAUAUAUAUAUAUAUAUAUGUAUACAUAUUUUGUUUUCCUUUUACUAGUAGACACUAUAUCUACACUUUUUCCCCAUUUAUUCUCUUUUUUUUACAGUUUUAUUCAAGCGACAUUUGUAAAAACGGUAUAACACUAGACAUAUACAACAAUCAGAUAAUUGAGAAUAAAGAUAUGACAGCAAAUAUUUAUUGUCCCAUAACAAAAAAAAUUGUUAAUACAUAUAGUAUUAACACUUGGAAAAAAAUGUUUCAAAAAAUUCAAUCAGCUUAUGAUGAAUUAAAAAAGGGAAGGAGUUUAAAUGUCAUAUGCGAAGAAACCAGUGAUCAUACAUCAAACAGAAAAAUAGAUCUUAAAGGUAAAUCUAUUCAAAAAUAAAAGCAGUAGCAAAAAAUAUAUAUGUAUAUGUAUACAUACAUACAU